rnacentral:tRNA from 11 species
GUGUGGCCCAGUGGUUAAGACGUUGGGCUACUAUCCCCAUGGUCUCUGGUACGAGCCC